rnacentral:tRNA from 10 species
CUAAUUUUUUAUGUUUUUAGUAGAGACGGGGUUUCACCACGUCAGCCAGGAUGGUCUCCAUCUCCUGACCUCGUGAUCCGCCCGCCUCGGCCUCCCAAAGUGCUGGGAUUACAGGCGUGAGCUACCAUGCCCGGCCGGGGCUUUCUUCUUAAACGCAGUUUCUCUCAGGCAGGUUGAAUUAUCAUCCAUCUAUUAAUUAUGCUGUCUUCAAAUUCUUGGACGCUGAUGUUAUUCAAUUAUUUUUAAAGUGAAGCAAGAAAGGAUCUGAAUUUCAUGCAUAUGACCAGAGAAGAAAUUCUCUCUCCAGUUCUUCACAGUUAGAAUAAAAAAUUUCCUUACCUAGCAAAGAGACAUUCAAAAUUUAUAUUUAAGUGUUAAUCUUGAAACCAAACUGUUUUAUCUUCCAUGUAUUUGCUUUCUUUCCUCCAAAGUAUGUUUACUCAUUUUGAAAUUCAAAGUGUCAUAAUUAGUUUUCACAAAAAAACUUACUGCCUCUGGGUUUUUCUUUAAAUUUAUUGAGGAAGAAACUGAUUACUAAAUUGUCACACUGAUACCUUCAUAUAUCCUUGUUCAAUCCCCCACCCUGAAAAUCACAUUUGGAUUUUUCAAACCUGUCCUACCUGUUCAGUUUUCUAGUUAUGGAGAUGCAAUGAUGGUAAUCAUAUAUGAUCGUGACAGACAAGAACACUGUUCAUAAUUAUUUCUUUCCUCUCCUUUCCUAAUAUAGUGUAUAGAAUCCAGAAACUAUUGACUUAGACCAAGGACUCAACUUUUGUCAAAGCCUUAAGAGCUCUGUCCUCUUCUCCCUAUUGGGAACCCCAGCAGAGGGAGGACAUAGGCAUAUGGCAGUAACAGCUGGCUUGGAGGUCCCAGAUGCACCCAGAAAUCCUCACUUGUGACAGAGGAUGUAUGCUUUGGAGACAAUAACAGAUUUGGAUCAAAAUCUUGGCUCUGCCCUUGGUUGGUGGGACUUAAGAACAUUGUUACCUAGCUUCUUGAGCCUGUUUCCACAUUUACAGGAGUAUGGAUUAGACGAGGUCCAUCACAGAUUUGUAAUAAGAAUCAAACAAGGCCAUCUUUUUUUUUGAAAACAGGGUCUCUCUCUGAUGCCCAGACUGGAGUGCAGUGGCACUCCCUGCAUACCAAGAUCACAGCUCACUGCAGCCUUGAGCUCCUGGCCUCAAGUGAUCUUCCUGCCUCAGCCUCCCAAAGUGCUGGGAAUACAGGUCUGAACCACAGCACCUGGCCACAAGGCCACAUUUGCAAGUGAAUGGAAAAGAUAUUUAACGCAUGUGAAUUUCCUGCCUCGUCUCUGGCAAUUGGUUAUGAGUGUCUAACUCCCUCUAUCAACCAUUCUCCUGUUCAAAAUCUUAAUCUAGUCUUGUCCUUGGCUGCUGUCCUCAAGGAAUAAUGAUUUAUGAAGGUUCAGGUCAGAAUGCUAAUUUAAAAACCUUUGUAGCUGCUAGCGAGACUGACUUAAGCUACACAUACAGAAUAAUAAAUAUGGCAUAUAGACUGGGUUGAAUGGUGCAGCUCCCAAAGACACGCCCAUGCCUUAAUGCCUAGAAUCUAUGAAUGCGAUCUUAUGUGGGAAAAGAUUCUUUUCAGAUGCAAUGAAGUUAGGGAUCUUAAGAUGAGGAGUUCACCCUGGACGAUCCAGGUGAGCCCUAAGUGCACUAACAGGUGCCUUUAUAAGAGCGAGGCAAAGGGAAAUUACACAGACAUUACAGGAGAAGGUAAUGUGGCCACAGAGAAAAGACUGGAGUGUUGCUGCCCAGGUCAAGGAAUGCUGACGAUCACCAGAAACUGGCAGCAGCCAAAAACAACCUGCCUCAGCCUCCUGAUAGCUGGGACUACAGGCAUGCACCCCUGUGUCUAGCUACAUUUUUUUUUUGGUAGAAACAGGGUCUCACUAUGUUGCCCAGGCUGGUUCCAAUCACAUUUCUACAUGGCUGUCCAUCCUUUGUUGAACCUAAGCAUAAAAAUGGACAAUUCCCCUGUAUCUUCAGGUCUUCAUUCUGAAGUCUUCUGUGUAUACACAUGAAACUUGUACACCUUUUCUCCAAUUAACCUGCCUUCUGUGAGCUGAUUUUUCAGUGAAACUUCAGAGGGCCAACCCCAAUAACAAAAAAGUUCCUACCCUUGGUAGAAAAGAUUUCUAACCAGAACCCUUACUAAAACAAUGGCAGUUGAGAUGAGGUCAAGGGUAGAUAGAAGAGUUCCUUAGAACAUUAAAGUCAUAAUAAAUCAUUCUGCUUUAAAUCAUCGAAAGUGUCCCAUGAGUAUUAUGGAGAAAUAAGAAGAGAAACCAUAUUACCUUCACACUUACAUAUCACACUUCACACUUACAUAUCAAUUUUAAUGGUGCCUCUGAGUCACAAGUAUCAAUACACUUGACGUUAUUACCAACAAGGGACUUUCCAGCCCCACCUUGCAACCAGCCAAAUCUAGAAAACAAGGAUAAUGAGGACAUCAUCCAUCACCCCUCCUGCAUAAUAUGCAGUGCCCAUAACCCCCAGCAUUCUACCCUUAAAGAACAAAACUAAAGUGUUGGCUCAGUUCUCUAACCUUCUUUAAAAGCUUAUAUAUCACCAUUUGGCAUCUUCAGGUUUGACUCAUACAGGAUAUUGUGUUCUUUUCAUGAGCACACAAUGAGCUAAGGUUCUCUCAAGGGUAUAGCUAUAUGCUUAGGAAGGAAAGUUUAUAAGAUUUUCUUCUUAACUCUACUAAUUGAAAAUUAGCUUUCUCAUAAAAAAAAUUUUGGUUUUUCCCUAGGGGUGUAGUACAAUUGGAAGAUCAGAAAACAUCAAGAACAAAAUAUUAGAUGGAAUGUAAAACUGUAUUAAGAGUGGUUUGGAACUCUUGAGAAACAGUGGGUGCCUUCAGUCCUUGUGCUAUUAUUGAUUGGAGUUUGAGGCCACCGUCUGACAUCUUAGUUCAAACAGGCUAAUAGGCUUUUGAAUCUUCACUGGGGAAAGCUUUCCCACUCUGGAGGAAUCUGACACAUUCAGGAGGAGGCAGAAGAGAAGAAGCUGCCAGGCUGGGAGAAUGGCUGUCUGAUGAGCUGCUGUCAGGCCUACAAAAGCGUAUUUCCACGUGGUCCUGCAUCCUGUCCCUGAGAUACAGUAAUAAAUCAUUGCAUAUAAAGGUGUCAAUAUUUCCACAGCCUCUGUUCAUAAGAGAGGUGAGCUGGAAGAAUACGAAGUCAAUGUUCAUGGAACUCUGCUUACGUUCCCAUUCCAAAAGACAGAACAAGGAUAUUUCAGGGAUUUCUACUUUGGGCAGAAGUGAAGAAAGAAAGAAUGCACUUUAAAUUGAUACUAUUAUCUCAUCUCCGGGAAGAAAUCCGGGGUAUCAAAAAGUUAAAGACUUCCUAGGUAAUUCAUCAUCUCUCAAGGCCUCACAGAUUUUAAGAUGAUAUGAUUUUUAAAGCCAAGGGAAGUAAUGCAUCUUCCUUAUUUUGUAGCUGAGAGAGCUGGAACCCAAAGGCAGAAGGGCUGGUAGAAGUUUGCACUAGUGAGAAGCAGAGCCUAGGCCACUCUCAGGAGUGGACAGCCUGCAAUUCCUGGAGUGCUCAGCUCCACCCCUAUUCUAUUCUUAUUUCUACCAGCAUCACAGGAUUCUGUGUCUGUAAAAUAAGGAUAACAAUACCUACUCUUUACAGACUAGUUUUAAGAAUCAAAUGGGACAGUAGAUACGGGGUGAAGAUGUUUUGCAAACUGUAAGCCCUUUAAGGUGCUAUACGCCUCUAUGCAAAUAUAAGCAUUACUAACACUGUUGACAUUAAAACAUAUUUGCUCCUAAUUUAUCAUGAGUAUAAAUAAAUAAUGACAGGUUUACAUUCUUCAGAGAUGACUUCAGGAGGCAUUUUCUUUUCAACCCUCUAAUAAAAUUCCUCUAAGUUUUCUUGAUAAGUUCUUUCUUCCCCUCAUUAUCGAAAGUAAUAUGUGCGUAUUAUAGAUAAUUUUAAAAUAUCAAGACAUAAAGAAAAAAAUGUUUCCCAUAGUUCCCAAACCCAAAGAUCAUCAUGAUUAAUCUUUUGAUAUAUUUCCUUCCAGUUUUCCCCCAUGCAUAUUAUAUCUGAGUUAUGAUCAUAUUAAAUUGGAUAUUCUAUUUCCCAGUUUUUCAUUUACCAUUAUAACUUAUAUAUUUUCCCACAUUACAAAAACUUAUUUUUAAGUGCCUUAAUGAUUGCACGACAUUUUAUUCUAUGGCUAUAUCAUAGACUAUUUAAUAAUUUCUUAUUAGCUGUUAGGUUAUUUUCUUUUUAAAAAUAUAUAUAAGGCAACAACUAACCGUGAAUAAAGCUUUUCUGUAUCUCAUUUUAUGAGGAACAUAUAAGGAUAGUUUACUAAAAAUAAAACGCUGAAAAUAUGAAAAGAUUUUGAUGCAUUUGCUGAAUUGCUUUCAAGGAGAUUUUCUCAAUUUAUGGCCAGGCACGAUGGCUUAUUCCUGUAAUCCCAGCAUUUUGGGAGGCCGAGGUGGACAGAUCACAUGAGGCCAGGAGUUCAAGACAAACUUGGCCAAUAUGAUGAAACCCCAUCUCUAUUAAAAAUACCAAAAAAUAGCUGGGCAUGGUGGCGAGCACCUCCCAGCUACUCAGGAGGCUGAGGCAACAUAAUCGCUUGAACCCGGGAGGCGGAGGUUGCAAUGAGCUGAGAUCGUGCCACUGCACUCCAACCUGGGCGACAGAGUGAGACUCAGUCUCAAAAAAAAAAAAAAACAAAACAAAACAAAACAAAAGAACAAGAUUUUAUCAAUGUAUAACUGGCCCACCAAUGGUAUAUGAGUUUCCUAGGGCUACUGUAAAAAAAUUACCAUAAACUAGAUGGCUUAAAACAACAGAAACUUAUUCUCUCACAGUUCUAGAAGCUAAAAGUCUGAAAUCAAGGUGUUGGUGGGGCCAUACUCUCUCUGAAGGCUCUGGGGAAGAAUCUUCCCUUGCGUCUUUGAGCUUCUGUUGGUUGCUGGCAAUCCCUGUCCUUCCUUGGCUUGUGACAGGAUAACUCCAAUGUCUGCUUCCAUCCUCCAUGGCCUUCUUCCUUAUGUAACUGUAUGUCUCCAAAUCUCUCUCUUCUUAUAAGAACACCUGUCUUUAAAUUUAGGGCCUGCUCUAAUAUAAUAUGAUCUCAUCUUAAGUUGAUCAUAUCCACAAAAGCCCUAUUUCUAAAUAAGGCCACAUUCACAGGUACCAGGGAUUAGCACUUCAAUAUAACUCUCUGGGGUACAUAAUUCAACAAACAAUAAAUGAUAUAUGUGAGUUCCCAACCCAUCAUGCAGUCCCCAGCAAUAUCGCUUUAUUUAUUUUUAUUUAUUUAUUUUGAGACAGAGUCUCACUCUGUUGCCCAGGCUGGAGUGCAGUGGUGCGAACUUGACUCACUGCAAGCUCCGCCUCCCGGGUUCACGCCAUUCUCCUGCCUCAGCCUCCCGAGUAGCUGGGUCUACAGGCACCCGCCACCACGCCUGGAUAAUUUUUUGUAUUUUUAGUAGAGACGGGGUAUCACAGUGUUAGCCAGGAAUAUCACUUUAUAUUUUAAUUGCAUUAUUUAUAUCUUCAAAACAGACAAUAGAUUUCCAUGAAGAUCUUCAUCCAUGUUGAGCAUGGUGGGGUGAUUACUUUUCAGAGGUUUUGAAGGCUAGAAUUCUUUUUGCAUAACCAGGCUGGAUAUUUACUUACGUUAAUUUUGGAAGCAGCACUCAUCUGCUUUUGAUGUGUACCUGUGUGCCAUCCCUGCUACAGGCUCCAGCCUCCUCACCACCUUGGGAAGGAAAUUCUAUCAGGAUCUGUCCUGAAAAGAGGGAAGCUCAGGAGCUUGGAAGUGAGACAAAGUUGGGUUCAAAUCCCAGCUCUGCCAUUUAGCACUGUUUCACCUUAAACUGUGUACUUAACGUCUCUAGCCCUCAGUUUUCUCCCCUGUUAAAUGAGAAUAAAAAACAUGUAUGAGUUAAGCACUUAGCCUGGAAUAUAACAAAUGCUCAGUACAUAUUAGCUAUGGUUAUUCAUGUUUAUUAUUGUAAUCGUUAUUGGUGUCAUUAUCACCUUGCUGCUGAUCCUUCCCAGUUUUUGUGUAAUGAGGCUCUGUCCCCUUGCCUAGGCAUGCCAUGUCUGGGCACUGUUCCUGGAGCUCAAGCGUUUUCUGUCUGGGCUCUGACUCUGCAACCCAGGCAUUUAUUGUCUGUGUUCCUAACAUGCACCUUGCAUAUUUAGAUUCUUACCCAGAUGUCUCUAGGUCCCUUGCAGGGCCUUGCUAUCUACCACUAGAUCUUCCCCUCAUGUCAGUGGGUAUUCUCUGCUACAGAACCAAGCCCAGGCAUUUUGGUCUCCCGCUUGUGCACAAUCAUAUUUCAGAACCCCAAACCUGACCUACACAUCCAGAAUUUGCUUUGCAUAUGAGUCCUCCCGCCCAGUCUGACAUCAGACAUUGCAUAGCAUAUUCCUUUAAUCAGCCCUUUCCUUACAAUCAGUAUGCUACAUAGUGAUUUUCUGAUAGUUGAUGACUGGUGUCUGGAUAAUACCAAGCCCAAUUCCUUCCUCUUAGCCUGUCCAGUCUCUUCUCUGCUCAAGUCCUGGAUUCAACAAUGAACUUCACUAGAAUCACCUACAUUAUUGGCCUUGGAAGGACUGUUCAGUACCAUAUAAAAUAAUGCCUAGAAUUUAAAAAAAAAUGAAUUUCCCCCCAGAUUCAGCAGCUUUUUGUUCCUUAUGUAUUUUACACCCAACAGGAUCAAUCAUGGGGAAUGGAAUGGGAAGAAAGAGAACGGUCAGUGCCAACGUGGUCUGGGGCCAUACAAUAGUGCACACAUUCUCUCCCAGUUCUAGCUGGGUGAAAAAUUACUUAUUACUUAAUACUUACCCUACUUAAUAAGGUAAGGGAAUUAUACAACUCAUCUAUGCAUAUUUUAUCCUGUGUAUUUAUGUUACUUUGGGAUGCCUGCUUAGGGUAACUACAUUAAAUCCAUUAAUGAUGAUUUUUAUCACUUCUUAAUAUCAAAGCUACCUGCUUGACUUCUCUUCAUGCAUAUUCAUGGCAUCAUUAACAGUUAGGCCAUGCCCCUCAAGAUAGCAGGUGUAGAACAAUGAGGCCACCAUGACCUGGAAGUGUGUGGUAAAAUAGCACACUUGAAAUGAUAAUGUUCCAAAAAAGCAAGACUUAGUUCAAAGAUUCAGAAAUAGCUUCAUUGCCCCAUCCUAUAUAACACUAUAUGCACGUUCUCCUAAACGUUGCCAAACACCUGCCAGCAGACAGAGACCAGCGCCUCCUUUGUUGUCCUUUCCAGAUUCUCAUAAGAAUCAAAUCUCUUAAUUCAAGAAAAGAGCCAUAGAGUUUCAAUAAAUGGUUAAAAAUGUCAAGGCUUUGAUUCUGAUCAAGAUAAAUCUCUGGAGGCAAUAGAAAAGAUUCUAUACUGGGUCUGAUCCAUUCUCCAGUUGCAUAACCCAUUUGUAACUCAUAGUUAUCAAUGUCAUGCCUAUAUGUAGGUCUACACAUACGCACAAACACACACAUGCCGUUUGAAAACUCCUGGUGUGACAUUCUGAUACUCAAGUUUACAAGCUGGCAAUGACAUUGCUCAAGACUUGAUUUUUUCACACUUUAUCAGGAACAGUGGUGAUACAGCUCUAGGAAUGAGAACGCUUUCCCUCUGGGCUCUUGAAGUCACAUAAUCUUUUAAUUAUGAGAGAGACUCAGGACCUUAUUGAGGUAGCAGCCACUAUCCAAGGGUUAGCAUCCAGGGUGGUGCUGGGAUCAAGCUCAGCUGAAGAAAAAAGCUCCAGGUAGAAUUCUAGAACACUGGGAGCUUGACUGUUGUUAUUAUUGUUACUUAACUUUUAAAGAAGAGGAUCUCAUGGGAAAUCAGAUGCCAUGGGAAAGCUAUGUGACUGAAUAAACAAUAAGCCAAUAAAGGAAGGCAAGGCAGAUGGGAUCCAAAUUAGAAGCAGCUUAAAUCUCACUGAGGUUAGCAGCUAAGAUUUGAUAAUUCAAAGAAGAUUUACCUUUAUUGCUCUAAAGAAAAUGAAUCUGUGCUAAAGUACAGGCAGUGGAGAAAAAUCUUCACAGCACCUGCAGAACUGCGUGCCAUAUGUGCAUUAUUUGCUCCAGUCAUGGAAGAGCUGGGAGAGAUUGGUAACUAAAGGAAGAUGAACUCACUCUCUGGAGGGUGACGACCUCAGAGCCGAAGUACGCAGCAAAGUCCGAUUGUGAUUUGAUUUUACAGACAGUUUGAGACUGGAAAUUAGGCCGCUGACUCAGGGUUGCCGUCUCACAUCAAAGGGUAUUUCCCUCCCUUUGCAACAUGCUGAUGGCCUCAGAAGUCUUUGCCCUUUACAACCCUCUCCAGGAACAGUCUGUCUGGACCCAAUCCAAGGAGCUCUCCCUGGCCUCUCGGCUUUGUGAAAUGCUGGAAUGUUGCUCUUCUUAACAGUGGGGGUACCCUGUUGUCAUUCAUUACAAAGUGGGAAAAUUAUUUUCUCAUGCUCCUGGGCCUCUCAGCAAGGGUGACAAAAUGAAAUAUGAAUUUCACUCUGCUUCUGAAUAAAGUAAUAGCCUAAUAGCCU